rnacentral:misc_RNA from 1 species
AAGCGCAGCGAUGAUUUUAAUAGCAGCGUACUACUUGCAACCAGAGUGAGAAAAAUAUACGUGCAAGCCAUGGGGAGAAGCGAAAUCGAGGCCAGGAAUUUCGCGAAAACGAAAUGACAGAGUGUGCAGCAGCGUGAAGCUGUGGCAAAAAGUGGGAAGCGUUUGGCCCGCGUCCAGCAGCCGUUCGCAAUAGGAAAAUUACCCGGGAUUACGUUGAAAUUCAUUUCUCGCAAGAAAAAUCGUCGUGCGUUAAAAGCCUCGGACGAUUAUUAAUUCGGGAGAAGUGUCGCGCUCGCAAACUUACUUCGAUGGUGAAACAGUGUAGCUAGGUGUGUUAUCCCCCGGUUUCUGAACUUCGGUCAAUUGUAAUUGAGAAAU